GGAGUUUGGUCCGUGUCUCAGUACCAAUGUGGGGGACCUUCCUCUCAGAACCCCUACUGAUCGAUGGCUCGGUGGGCCGUUACCCCGCCGACUACCUAAUCAGACGCAUCCCCAUCCCUUAGCGAUAAAUCUUUAAUCCAAAUUAGAUGCCUGCUUCGGAUAACAUAGGGUAUUAAUCCGACUUUCGCCGGGCGUAUGCCCUACUAAGGGGAAGGUUGGAUACGCGUUACUCACCCGUGCGCCGGUCGCCGACAAGGAAAGCAAGCUUCCCUCUCGCUGCCCCUCGACUUGCAUGUGUUAAGCCUGUAGCUAGCGUUCAUC
rnacentral:rRNA from 1 species